rnacentral:rRNA from 1 species
CACGUAGGGUGCGAGCGUUGUCCGGAAUUAUUGGGCGUAAAGAGCUCGUAGGCGGUUUGUCGCGUCUGCCGUGAAAGUCCGGGGCUCAACUCCGGAUCUGCGGUGGGUACGGGCAGACUAGAGUGAUGUAGGGGAGACUGGAAUUCCUGGUGUAGCGGUGAAAUGCGCAGAUAUCAGGAGGAACACCGGUGGCGAAGGCGGGUCUCUGGGCAACAACUGACGCUGAGGAGCGAAAGCGUGGGGAGCGAACAGG